rnacentral:lncRNA from 1 species
GAGAUUUGAUUGCUUUGAUGAUUUGGAAUCGAGAUGGAAGUGAAUUGAGAUUUAUUAUGAUGACUCACAUGUUUCACCCAAUAUAUUUUACUCUCUUAUGAUUAUGAUGAUUUUAGUUCGAGCUAAGUUAGUCAUUUAUAUCAGCAUGCAUAAUUUUAUAAACUGUGAUGAAUUAGUAAUGAAUUGAUAUACCCUUGUUUAUUAGUUUAGUGAAAGUUAGAGAAGGAGAUUAUUAGUUAAGGUGGAUUGUUGUUUGAUUGAAGUAUGAAAAGAGUUAUUGAUGGUAUUUGUUAUGCUAGGAAAGUAUAGGUUUUGAUGGAAGUACUUGGUGGUUGAGUAUUGUUAAUUUAGGCUUUCCUGAGAUUGCAAGAGGAAGUUUAGUUGAAAUUUAUAGAGCUAUGAAAGUAAUUUAGGUGUAAAUAUGGGUAAAUAGUAAUGAUGUGAAGAAGGAGGAUGUGUUAAAAAAUUAUGAAUAAGAUAGGCCAUAUGAUUAUGAUCGAUUGUCAUUGUGUACUAGUUUUUCUUAAUGUUGUGUUCAAUUGUUUUGAAGUUAAAAUUGUGUGUGAGAUUGGGUUGUAAAUCAUGUUUAGCUCUAGACAUUAUGUUUGAACAGUUGAUGGUUCGAUGGUUGAUGCUAGUUAUAUGGAGGUGAUCUAGUAGGCCUGAACAGUGUAUGCAAGAGUGUAAGAACAUGUGUUCGCAAUUAAGUAUGAUGUAAAGGUGUGCCCAAGGUGCUAUGGGACUGCAUUAUUUUUAGAGGAUUAUUACAUAUUAUGUGGUUAGUAGUAACGUUGAGUUUCUAGGUGGAGAAAGGCUAGUUAGAUAAUUUAUGUUGUUCUUGAUAGCUA